UACGAACCGUCCAAACGUUAUUCGGAAUUACUGGGCUUAAAGGGUUUGUAGGCGGCCUUGUAAGUGGGGUGUGAAAUCCCUCGGCUCAACCGAGGAAUAGCGCUCCAAACUACAUGGCUUGAGGGGGACAGGGGUAAGCGGAACUGAUGGUGGAGCGGUGAAAUGCGUUGAUAUCAUCAGGAACACCGGUGGCGAAAGCGGCUUACUGGGUCUCUUCUGACGCUGAGAAACGAAAGCUAGGGUAGCGAACGGG
rnacentral:rRNA from 1 species